GACGAACGCUGGCGGCGUGCCUAAUACAUGCAAGUAGAACGCUGAAGGAAGGAGCUUGCUCUUUCUGGAUGAGUUGCGAACGGGUGAGUAACGCGUAGGUAACCUGCCUGGUAGCGGGGGAUAACUAUUGGAAACGAUAGCUAAUACCGCAUAAAAUUGAUUAUUGCAUGAUAGUCAAUUAAAAGGUGCAACUGCACCACUACCAGAUGGACCUGCGUUGUAUUAGCUAGUUGGUGGGGUAACGGCUCACCAAGGCGACGAUACAUAGCCGACCUGAGAGGGUGAUCGGCCACACUGGGACUGAGACACGGCCCAGACUCCUACGGGAGGCAGCAGUAGGGAAUCUUCGGCAAUGGACGGAAGUCUGACCGAGCAACGCCGCGUGAGUGAAGAAGGUUUUCGGAUCGUAAAGCUCUGUUGUAAGAGAAGAACGAGUGUGAGAGUGGAAAGUUCACACUGCGACGGUAUCUGACCAGAAAGGGACGGCUAACUACGUG
rnacentral:rRNA from 1 species